AUUCAACUGAUGAGCCUCUAAAUAGGACGAAAUGCGCGUCCUGGAU
rfam:Schistosoma curassoni strain Dakar, Senegal genome assembly, scaffold: SCTD_scaffold0000270